rnacentral:lncRNA from 1 species
GCCCUAGUAGGACGAGUUUUGUCUCGUGAGGGUUUAUAGUGAAUCUACCCACAAAAUUCAUUAUUUUCUACCAAGCGUCGGAUAUGCAACUACUAUGAAUGCAAACUAAAUGAAUAUGCCUAAAAACAAAUCAUGAAAGCAUCAACCUCGUCAAUAUAUAUCCUCAGAAUAUGCAACAAUCAAGGCAUUCAUCUAUCUCACAU